rnacentral:rRNA from 1 species
UACGUAGGGGGCUAGCGUUGUCCGGAUUUAUUGGGCGUAAAGAGCGUGUAGGCGGCUAGGUAGGUCUGCUGUGAAAACUCGAGGCUCAACCUCGAGAUGUCGGCGGAAACCAUCUGGCUAGAGUCCGGAAGAGGAGAGUGGAAUUCCUGGUGUAGCGGUGAAAUGCGCAGAUAUCAGGAAGAACACCCGUGGCGAAGGCGGCUCUCUGGGACGGUACUGACGCUGAGACGCGAAAGCGUGGGGAGCAAACAGG